rnacentral:rRNA from 1 species
GAUGAACGCUGGCGGCGUGCCUAAUACAUGCAAGUCGAGCGAACGGACGAUAAGCUUGCUUCUCUGAUGUUAGCGGCGGACGGGUGAGUAACACGUGGAUAACCUACCUAUAAGACUGGGAUAACUUCGGGAAACCGGAGCUAAUACCGGAUAAUAUUUUGAACCGCAUGGUUCAAAAGUUAAAGACGGUCUUGCUGUCACUUAUAGAUGGAUCCGCGCUGCAUUAGCUAGUUGGUAAGGUAACGGCUUACCAAGGCAACGAUGCAUAGCCGACCUGAGAGGGUGAUCGGCCACACUGGAACUGAGACACGGUCCAGACUCCUACGGGAGGCAGCAGUAGGGAAUCUUCCGCAAUGGGCGAAAGCCUGACGGAGCAACGCCGCGUGAGUGAUGAAGGUCUUCGGAUCGUAAAACUCUGUUAUUAGGGAAGAACAUAUGUGUAAGUAACUGUGCACAUCUUGACGGUACCUAAUCAGAAAGCCACGGCUAACUACGUG